CAGCCGCCGCGGUAAUACCGGCGGCCCGAGUGGCGGUCACUAUUAUUGGGCUUAAAGCGUCCGUAGCCGGGUUGGGGAGUCCUCCGGGAAAUCUGGCCGCUUAACGGUCAGAAUGCCGGAGGAUACUCCCAGCCUAGGGAGCGGGAGAGGCCGAGGGUAUUCCCGGAGUAGGGGUGAAAUCCUAUAAUCCCGGGAGGACCACCUGUGGGGAAGGCGCUCGGCUGGAACGCGUCCGACGGUGAGGGACGAAGGCCAGGGGAGCAAACCGGAUUAGAUACCCGGGUAGUCCUGGCUGUAAACGAUGCGGACUUUGUGUCGGACAAGCUAUGAGCUUGUCCGGUGCCGGAGGGAAACCGUUAAGUCCGCCGCCUGGGGAGUACGGCCGCAAGGCUGAAACUUAAAGGAAUUGGCGGG
rnacentral:rRNA from 1 species